CAAUGGAAUACACUUUUAAUAUUUUAUAAACCAUAUAGUUCUCAUCAAAGACAUAUCUUAGCAGGAGUCCAGGUAAUUUUGUUCACUGGAAUUUCUCUCUGCACGGUUACCGUAUCAUGUGAAGGGAUAAAAUUGGGUAACCAUCCAUACUUCUACUAAUUUAGCGCGCUAUGGAGGACUCGACCAAUCAACGACGCGCGCGCAUUCAACGGUACCAACACCCUGAGGUGCAGGAGAACAGGACUAGUAGCUACAGUAAAAAUAUAAAAUAAAGCAGACUUUUCAGCGCCUCAUCUUCACGUUGAUGGUCAACAUUUCGAAACGAAGAUUCAAGAGCUAGUAAAGAACAAGGCAUUGGGAUGGACUGGUUCCACUGUAACAGCUGCUUCCGAAGAGAGGGGCAGAACUUUGCUGUCUCCAGCUGUGGUCACAUCUGCUGUGAAGGCUGCAUCAAUCCUAAUAAAAGUAUGACUGUUGUCAUUUCCCUGUCCCCCGCCCACACCCAUCCUAUGGUCCCAGAUCUUUUCUUAUUUCAUACUGUUGUGUUGUCUCGAAAUGUAGCCUUUUUCCCCCCCUCAGAACAUUGCACUGUGUGUGGAGCCAGCUGCAAUUACCUGGCCAUCUCAGACCAGAUGAAGCCUCAGGAGCAGGUGUUCUUCAAAGACCCUGUGAAGCUCAUUCAUUCUCGUCUGGAGCACAUAGCACAGAUUGCUCUAUUCCAGCGAAGGCAGAAGGAAAGGGUCAUUGUCUACUUCAAAAACAAAUCUAUGGAGCUGGAGAGGAGACUGAAGGAUGUCACAGAUCAGUGUUACAGGCAAGUUUUAGAGCUGAAAAGAGAGAAUGCCGAGUUGAAGAAACCUCUCUCUCAGAGGAGGGCAUCACCUGGACAAUUUCAAACAAAUGGCAGUGCCCAAAGGAUGUCUCUUCCAGUGGCUGUUACCUCCCCAGUCACCCCUCGCUCACGUCCUGUUAGCCACCAAAGCUUUGCUGAAACCCAGGAGAGAUUCAGAGAUAGAAACCCUAGGCUCACCCUUGCAACUCCGCCUGGUUCUGCCACAUCAAUCUCCAGCCUGAGCUCUCUGCACGAGCGUGGUGGCUUCAGGACUCCCACCAUUAUUAGCACUCCCACCCGGUAAGAAUUGAUGAAUAUCAGUUGAUUUCCAUUUCCAUGGUGCAUCGUUGAAAGUAGCGGUCUGAGAAUCUGACUCCGAACAUUUUCCAGUUCUUGACUGGGCCAUCGCUGCACUCCCCAAGGCCUUUCAGAAAUGGCCAGUAAACCGAAUCUGAUGAACAGCUGACCCCGAUCUCAAAAAGCACAGGGAAGCAGUUAACACACACAAAAUUGUUUUUGUUUUUUUACUUGAUUCCAGUGAUGCAGUUGUGCAAAUGUUAAAUUGAACAAUACAACAUUAAAAAGACAUGCUCCGGUACUUUGGCCCAAAAAAUUUUUUUACCUCCCGCUUUGUCAAAGUGUAGUUCAUAUAUGCAUAAUCUAUGAGCAGAAUUAAUGUUAGCCACAAAAUCCCUAGUUUGAAAAUACUUUUCUUGAAACUGUGCAGCACCAUUUCCCCUACAUUUCACCCCACAUGGACCAGCCUCUUAACAAUUUGAGUUCUAGCCCUUGCAUUGAGUGGAAGCUAGCAAGAGGCCUGCCCAGCAUUAUCCAAUGAGGUUGCAGGACGGGCCCAACGACUCAGUGGAAACAGUAGAGAGCAAUGACGUAGUACCCAAUUUUCAGGGACCACUUUUGGCUUGGGAGUGCUACUUUCACAACUACUAAAUAUAAAAGAUACAAAAGUACUGAAGAAUCUCUGACUUUUGAAAUGAGUGCCAUGUGUCCAGUUAAGUAGAAAAUUGAAAAACUGUUUACAACUACAAUUAAAGGGAUCGGUAACUGAGAAUAGUGUUAAGACAAACAUUUCUCCUUCAACCCUCUACAGCAUUCUUGUACAUCCUUUGUAAUGUUAUCAUAGCUAAUAGGAAAAAAAACAUUUACACUGUAGAAAAUGUUGCUUAAUGUUGAUUAAAAUACUUUUACUGGUAUACCUGGAUGAAUGUAACAUGUCAUUUUCCUCUCAGAGGCAUAGAAAAUGGCCUGCACAAAACACUACUUAUUGCUUUGGAUUAAAGUGGACUAAAACAAUC